CUCCAGAGUGGAUCCUGAGUACGGCGGAACACGUGAAAUUCCGUCGGAAUCCGGGAGGACCAUCUCCCAAGGCUAAAUACUCCCUAGUGACCGAUAGUGAACCAGUACCGGGAGGGAAAGGUGAAAAGCACCCCGGAAGGGGAGUGAAACAGUUCCUGAAACCGUGUGCCUACAAGUAGUUAGAGCCCGUUAAUGGGUGAUAGCGUGCCUUUUGUAGAAUGAACCGGCGAGUUACGAU
rnacentral:rRNA from 1 species